rnacentral:rRNA from 1 species
GACGAACGCUGGCGGCGUGCCUAAUACAUGCAAGUAGAACGCUGAAGCUUGGUGCUUGCACCGAGCGGAUGAGUUGCGAACGGGUGAGUAACGCGUAGGUAACCUGCCUGGUAGCGGGGGAUAACUAUUGGAAACGAUAGCUAAUACCGCAUAAGAGUAGAUGUUGCAUGACAUUUGCUUAAAAGGUGCAAUUGCCUCACUACCAGAUGGACCUGCGUUGUAUUAGCUAGUUGGUGAGGUAACGGCUCACCAAGGCAACGAUACAUAGCCGACCUGAAAGGGUGAUCGGCCACACUGGGAAUGAGACACGGCCCAGACUCCUACGGGAAGCAGCAGUAGGGAAACUUCGGCAAAUGACGGAAGUCUGACCGAGAAACGCCGCGGGAGUGAAGAAGGGUUUCGGAUCGUAAAGCUCUGUUGUAAGAGAAGAACGAGUGUGAGAGUGGAAAGUUCACACUGUGACGGUAGCUUAACAGAAAGGGACGGCUAACUACGUG